rnacentral:lncRNA from 1 species
GUGUGAAUAAAUGAAUGUUUAAUGAGAUAUGACAAUACAGUUUCAUUGGCAGUACAGGUGUUAGAUUACAUUAGCGGCUGAAGAUAAAUGCAAACCUGUAGCUAUAAUAUGUGCUUUGAAUUUAUUUAUUUAUUUUAAAUAUGGUUUUGGUCUCCAACUCCACAUUCCAAUAAUACCAUUCCUUUAUAUUUUAAACAUAUCUUGAAACAUUUUCCCUUAAUAUCCUAAGACUGAAUUCUUCAGAUACAUCAUCUUGGUUACUGUGAAGUUGCUAUGCUACAUAUAAAAGGCAUAUUCUUGAACGUUUUUUUAAACCAUGCACCUUCUUUAGACCAUAAUAGGAAGAGUGAAGUCACUUAGAUCACACCCGUGAACAGAGGGUUGUGAUGUACUGUGUUAAUUGAAAUACUUAAUCUUGAAUUUCAAACAUGAUUCAAAUAAAUCGCAAAAAUGGUAAAAUAUGUUUGGAUUGUGAGUGAACAGUAUUUUCUAAAUAUAAAUAUAUUAUUACAAUACAUACCAAGAAAUUGGUUAAUUAUAAGAGAAUCUAAAUAAUAUUGAAAUUUACUAGGACAAUCUUGUCAACAUCUGCAAUUAGCAUCACCUAAAAAGGCAGGGGCUUCAUGGUUCUGGACCUGAGAGAAAUCCCAUUUCCAUUCUCAUAGUAUUUCUGUAAUUCACCAUGGUUAUUUAAUGAAGGAAGAAAUGUUGGGAAUUCAAACUGAAUUUAAAGUGAAUUUUAAAUUUAGCUCCAAAAUAGCUGAAUUGGAAAAAUUCCCCAAUGCAGCUAUUCUUGCAGUUGUUAUUUUGGUCUCGAAAUUCACUUGGAAUUCACUUUGCAUUCUCAACAAUCCUCACCUCAGCAAAUAACCCAGCACGUGUAAUAUAUAGCAAACCUAUGCUGAUCCACGUGACCUUUAUGCUCUGCCUUAUGGUCUUAAAUGAUAAUUAUAUAACUAGUCAGAGAUAUUCACUAAAGUGUGAAUUGCUAGGAAUUUAGAGUGAAUUUUAAUUUUAAGGUAAAAUGACAGAACUGAAAGCAUAGUUGCAUUUGAAAAUAAUUUUUUGAUUGCUGAAAUCCCGACCUUUAGUGAAUAGACCUGAGUGUUUGCUUGUAAAGCUGAACCCCUGUUAACUCCUAUGGAUCAAGGGCUGUUUAAUUAAAGGGACACUAUAGUCACCAGAACAACAACAGCUUAAUCUAUUUGUUCUGAGUAUAGUUAGUCACUGCAGGCUUUUUGCUGUAAACACUGUCUUUUCAGACAAAAGACAUUGUUUACAUUGCUCGCUAGGGACACCUCCAGUGGCAGUCACUCGGACCGCCAAUAGAGGUGCUUCCUGGGUCAGCAUGGAGGUGCUGAACAUUCCUCAUAGAGAUGCUUUGAUUCUAUGCAUCUAUGAGGAGGUGCUGAUUGGCCAGUAUGGUGUUUGGCUCCUCCCCCUCCCCCACCUCCUUGGCUAAGAUCAUCAGAAUUGACUAUCUCAGCCAAUCCAAUGCUUUUCCACAGGGAAGCUGAGAUAAUCAAUACUGAUGGUCUCAGUGAAGGGGGUGGGGCAGUACUGGCUGACAUGCACAGUGCUGGGUUAAAGGUGAAUUUUUACCUUACUUAAGGUGUAAGCAGGGAGGAGUGGGGGGCAGAAGCCUAAAUAGUGUUUUGUAACACUAUAAGGUCAGGAAUCCACGUUUGUAUUGCUGAUCCUAUUGUAUGUCUUUAACCAAUACAAAUUGAAAUACUAGAUCACAAGAUCCAAUUACCAACAUGGAAUGCACCAUUCAUUAUUAGAUAGACAGUGCAUUUCAUGCUGGUAUGUAGUCUUUACCGACCAGACUGUAAUGGCAGUAUGAAAUGACUUUCAAGACAUCUGCCACUUAAUAAUGGUGUCCUGGUUCUUUCUUUAGUUGUAGUAAAUAUUGUUUCAGAAACAAAGUCCUGUAAAAUCAUUCAUGCUCUCUCUCUCUCUCUAUAUAU